rnacentral:lncRNA from 1 species
UAAACACAGUAUCGUAAUUUCCAUCCUAUAAACGCAAUAAAUUCUUCUGUAGCGAUGUAAUUAAUACAUAAUUGAAAUUUUCAUGGUUAGUACAUAUUCUAACCGAGCGUUACGGUAAUUUGCGCAUCACUUGCAUUUAGAGAUUGUACUUGUGUAUAUAGAUACAUUGGAUAUUAUUCAUUGUGCUUAGUUAAUAAAUGAAAGGAAAAAAUUCAAGAAAGAAAGGAAAUGAUGACGUUGUAUAUAUGUCAGUGGAACAUCACGUGGAUGCGUGAAAUCGCAAGUCAAUGACCUGAUCAAUAACCUGUUGACUCGAACAGUAUAUGUAUGUGUAUGCAUAAACGUACUCGAAAAAAGUGAAAUAAUAAAUAUAGAAAGCUAUGAAUCACUUUUACUAUUAGAAGAUUGAUACAUUAAGGCAGUUUGAGAAGAACAUCGUUCACUCAGGAAAUGGAAAUAACAUUACCAUUGCCUAAAAGAUCUUCGUCAAAUAUUUUAAACUUGGAAAUGUUUAAAAUUUUAUUUUAUAUUAUUA